CCAAACCCAAUACCCCUAAAACCCUAGGAAGAUUACUUAAUAAGGACCCAUGGACCUAAGAGUAAAUGAGCUGAAAAUACACAAAAAAUACACACUAAGAUAUAACCUAGACCAAUAGACACCCCUAAAAUCCGCCAUCACACCCCAUCAGAUUGGAGGUCCAUCAUUUUCUUCAGCCGUUCAACACACAUAGAUGCCCAUCGUCACUUUGAAUCUCUAUCCUAAAGAAAGCCACCAAGGACCUGUACCUUUUUCUCCACCCUUAGAGCACCCUUCACUAACACGACAACAACAGCCGCAGCUGCUCACCCCAACUCCAUCUCCAGUCAGUCGCAACACCAACCAGCACACCACAAAUAGCCAGUCAUCUCCUUCAACCCUGAACACACUCAGACCUAAGAGAAGACAUCCGUUUCUAUCACCUUCUCCAUGAAGACCAACCACAAAACCAGCCGUUGCUCCACGACCUCACACCAAACGACCCUCAUCUCCUAACUCACUCUCAACCAGAUCAAACGCCGAUCUCCUGCCCUUCCAACGACCCUUCCUUUCCAAAACACAGCAGAACCACCAGUCCGCCAGAAACUAGCCAGCUAUUCUUCUCGAAAAAAAAAAUCGCGCGCACACACGCAAAAUAGUUUUAAGCUGAGGUUGGUUUGAGGUCUUCACCAUCCAUUCGAGGUUCCGUCGCUGGUUCGGAGUUCCGAUCAGUGGCCUUCUGUUGUUACUUUGUAUUUUCGUUCGAGGUUUGUCCGGUCCGCGUUUUAAAUUUCAAAAGUCGGAACAGAAGGUAAUUGGUUGAUUUGAUCUGGAUCUUGGAUUUAAUAUUAUCGUUUCUUUGCUCAGGAUGCCUUAGCAGUAUUUGGUUGCUGUGUUUUGUUCUUUUGUUAUUGUUGGUCUGUUUUUGCUCAAUUUAUAUUAAGAUGGAAUUCUGGUUGAUUUGUGUUUUAAUAUAGGAUUCUGGUUGAUUUGUGUUUCAAUAUGGAGUUUUGGUUGAUUUGUGUCGGCCUAACUGUGUGCAUACGACGUUGCUUCCGUGAAUUAGUGUAUCAAGUGUUUACUGAUGUUUGAUUUAUUAAACAAACAAAUAUGCUGGAUGAUCGAUGAACAUGGGAUUGAAGUAAAACAUAGGUCGUUAGUGUUCUAAAUCUCUUGUUUAGGUAGAUCUUUUUAUUUUGAAUUCAUGCUCUCGUUAAUAUCAUAUAGUUGCCCUCUUUUAUUAACCCACAAAUAAUUUUAUAGUAUUCACAAACACGUAGUAUGCUUUAGGGGUGUUUUGAAUUUUUUAUCAUGAUUAUGUACACGUUCGCGUGACAUGAUUACGUUUUCUAAAAAUGAAUAUCCGUAGCUUUGCUUUAGGCGCGUUUAAUAUAUCGUCGUGAUUGUGGAUACGUUCACAUUACAUAAUUAUGAUUCCUUAAGGAUACAUUGAGGUGUGUCAUCCAUAAUUAAAUCACCUAUGGACUUCACAUUAAUAUUAUAACUUAGGUAUUAAGAAUGAAUAUUCGUAGUUUGCUUUAGGCACAAAUUAAUCUAUCAUCGUGAUUGUGGACACGUUCGCGUGACAUGGUUACGAUUUUAAAAACAAAAUCGAAGAAUGCGUUCGUGCAACUCCGACUAAACAUUCUUAAUAGUAAUAAAGCGUUACUAAUUGUGAAAACGUUCGCGUGAUAUGAUUUUUGACGCGCCAAAUAAAUGGGUACACGUACGCGUGACCUGUUUUAAAGAUAAUUUCUUAAUUAAAAAGGCAAAAGCACACGGGUUCUAAAAGUGAGUAAUUAAACAAUUUGAUUAAGCCAAGUAUGAUCAAAGCAACCGUGCUAAAACCUUGGAACUUGGGAAUGCCUAACACCUUCUCUCGGGUUAACAGCAUUUCUUACCCGGAUUUCUGUGUUCGCAGACCAUAAAUAAGAGCGAACUUCCUCGAUUCGGAAUUUUAACCGGUGACUUGGGACACCAUAAAUUAUCCCAAGUGGCGACUCUGAAUUUAAUAAAUAAUAUCGUUUUGAUUGUCACUUAAAUUGGAAAAAACUCCCUAUACCCCCUUCCGGGGGUAGAAAAAGGAGGUGUGACAGCUCUGACGACUCUGCUGGGGGAGAAGAACCCAGAACUUCUAGUUCAAGGUUCAGAAUUCGAGCUUGUUAAUAUAAUUUUACUUGGAUUUAUUUAUUGUUAAUAUUACUUUGUUUUGUGAACCUUUGUGCUAAUUGUUGUUUAUUUACCGAUUUGAUAUUAUUUGAAUUGUAUAUAACCGUCUUUUUACGCCACCCCUCUGCGUCUUCUAAAAAUGGUGCACACGUUUGCGUGGUCCAUUUUUUCUGUAGAGGUUAUACCAAAUAGAAUGAGGCUGGGCCAACAACAAGGCCGGGUAGACUUUAGUGCUCCCGGUAUGUUGCCCCCUCUUCGGCUCGAGUUAUCCGCUUGGGUAUGUCAGGUCAAGAACACAACCCUAGGUUUAAACUUAGAAUAACAUAACCUCAUGCCGGAUCCCUAGUAGGAAUAUUUAUUUGCAUAACGUGCAUUUGACUUUGGGGACUCAACACAGGGGUUAGGUCCGUCUAGGACAGGUCUACCCAUAACAGACCAUCUUGAUGCAUCCCACGUGCUACAUGUUGCAUUUCUUCAAGGGUAAAAGGGUCAUUUGGUGGACCAAUGAUAGUUGAGGGUAAAUGAAAAAGAAAUAAUAAAGAAAAAAAGAGAAGGUGAAGUGUGAAAAAUAAAGCAAGUAGGGCUCGAUUAUGUUUUCUGGCACAUUUUGUUAAGGAAAAAAAAACAUGAAUAAAUUCUCAAAAAAAAGGAUUUGUACUUUCUCAUCAUUUUCCGAAAAUCAAAAAAUCAAAAAAAAAAAGGAAAAGAAAAUCCAAAAAGAGUUUACAUGUUUCAUCAUUUUUUUUUUAAAAAAAGACAGAAAAACAUAUUUUUACUCUAAAUUACAUGUUGUUUUUUUUAAUUCUCGCCCGUAUCCAAUCUACCCGAUACGCAUAUCUGAUUCUCGUCUUUCGGGGCCUGAUACGUAGGCAACCCACAUAGGGUUCGAUCUUCCUAGUAAUUAAACAAUUUGAUUAAGCCAAGUAUGAUCAAAGCGACCGUGCUAAAAUCAUGGAACUUGGGAAUGUCUAACACCUUCUCCCGGGUUAACAGAAUUCCUUACCCGGAUUUCUGUGUUCGCAGAUCAUAAAUAAGAGUCAACUUCCUCGUUUCGGAAUUUUAACCGGUGACCUAGGACACCAUAAAUUAUACCAAGUGGAGACUCUGAAUUUAAUAAAAUAAUCCAGUUUCGAUUGUCACUUAAAUUGGGAAAAACUCCCUAUACCCCUUUCUGGGGGUAGAAAAAGGAGGUGUGACAGCUCUGGCGACUCUGCUGGGGAGAAGAACCCAGAACUUCUGGUUCAAGGCUCAGAAUUCGAGCUUGUUAAUAUGAUUUUAAUUGGCUUUAUUUAUUGUUAAUAUUAAUGUAUUUUGUGAACUUUUGUGCUAAUUGCUGUCUAUUUACUGUUUUGAUAUUAUUUGAAUUGUAUAUAAUUAUCUUCUUAUGCCACCCCUCUGGGUCUUCUAAAUAUGGUGCACAAGUUCGCGUGGCCCGCUUUUUCUAUAGAAGUUAUACCAAAUAGAACGAGGCUCGGCCAGCAACAAGGCCGGGUNNNNNNNNNNNNNNNNNNNNNNNNNNNNNNNNNNNNNNNNNNNNNNNNNNNNNNNNNNNNNNNNNNNNNNNNNNNNNNNNNNNNNNNNNNNNNNNNNNNNNNNNNNNNNNNNNNNCAAUAACACAACCCUAUGUUUAAACUUAGAUUAACAUAACCUCAUGCCGGAUCCCUAGUAGGAACAUUUGUUUGCAUCAUGUGCAUUUGACUUUGGGGACUCAACACAGGGGUUGGGUCCAUCUAGGACAGGUGUACCCAAAAUAACAGACCAUCUUGAUGCAUCCUACGUGCUACAUGUUGCAUUUCUUCAAGGGUAAAAGGGUCAUUUGACGGACCAAUGAUAGUUGAGAGCAAAUAAAAAAGAAAAAAAGAGAGGGUGAAGUGUGAAAAAUAAAGCAAGAAGGGCUCGAUUAUGUUUUCUGGCACGUUUUGUUAAGGAAAAAAAACAUGAAAAAUUUCUCAAAACAAAAAGGAUUUGCACUUUCUUAUCAUUUUUCGAAAAUCAAAAAAAAAAAACGAAAAAGAAAAUCCAAAAAGAGUUUACAUGUUUCAUCAUUUUUUUCUAAAAAUAGACACAAAAACAUAUUUUUCUCUAAAUUAGAUGUUGUUUUUUUUAAUUCUCGCCCGUAUCCAAUCUACCCGAACUACGCAUACCUGAUUCUCGUCUUUCGGAGAGUGAUACGUAGGCAACCCACAUAGGGUUCGGUCUUCCUAGUAAGUCUUAGGUUUUUGGCUUCGCGGGGUCUUAGCUAAAUCUUGCAUGUUUAGCCACUUUUAGCCACAUAGGUUAAUUUUAGAAAAAUAGUCACAAUCAUGUCUUGCAUGUGUCCAACAGGAACGGUUAUUGUCUCGCAUAGCGUUCUAGGUCUUUAACUUUAUUUUGUCUUAAUUUUCUCAUACAGGUGUGAAUCUACUUACCGGAGUUUGGCAUGACAUACGCCUUAGGACCAUCCAGUCAAGAUCACUCAUUCAGGAAUUUGCUUAAGGAUUUUUUAUGUCAUGUUUUGAGUCUGUUGUCUUUUUAUGUCGUCUUUUACCUUCUAGUUUUGUACAAUAAUGCCAAGUCUUUUAGGUGGUAUUAGAGUAUGUCAUAGGCUAGUUAAGUUUGUUGAGUCUUUUGUUAUUGUAUUUCAUAUUCUGCAUUUGAAAAUAGAUGUGUUAUAAAUCAAAAAUCCAAAAAAAGAGAUUUUACGUUUUAUAUUUAUGUUAGAUGUUUUCUUUAGAAUACUAACUCUAGAAGUUCAAAAAAAAAAUCUUUUGUGGUUUUUCAUAGGAAAUUAAUGUCUAGAACUCAGAAUAAAAAAUUACUUUUAUACUUCCUUUUAGUACAUUAACACUAAAAGAUCAAAAAAAAAGAGAAUUUUCUUGUAAUACUUCUUUAAAAAGUUUUCUUUAAGGUAUUAAUUCCAAAAAUCCAAAAAAGAUUUUCUUUUGAGAUUAUU
rnacentral:lncRNA from 1 species